GACGAACGCUGGCGGCGUGCUUAACACAUGCAAGUCGAGCGGUAAGGGCCCUUUCGGGGGUACACGAGCGGCGAACGGGUGAGUAACACGUGGGUGACCUGCCCUCAGCUCUGGGAUAAGCCUGGGAAACCGGGUCUAAUACCGGAUAUGACUCCAUGACGCAUGUUGUGGGGUGGAAAGCCUUGUGCGGCUGAGGAUGGGCCCGCGGCCUAUCAGCUUGUUGGUGGGGUGAUGGCCUACCAAGGCGACGACGGGUAGCCGGCCUGAGAGGGCGACCGGCCACACUGGGACUGAGACACGGCCCAGACUCCUACGGGAGGCAGCAGUGGGGAAUCUUGCGCAAUGGGCGAAAGCCUGACGCAGCGACGCC
rnacentral:rRNA from 1 species